GACGAACGCUGGCGGCGUGCUUAACACAUGCAAGUCGAACGGAAAGGCCCUGCUUUUGUUGGUUGCUCGAGUGGCGAAAGGGGGAGUAACACGUGAGUAACCUGCCCUUUACUGUGGGAUAACUUAAGGGAACUGGGGCUAAUACCGGGUAGAAGCUCCUGCUGCAUGGUGGGGGUUGGAGAGAUUCGGCGGUUGGGGAUGGACUCGCGGCGUAUCCGCUUGUUGGGGGGGUGGUGGCUUACCAAGGCUUUGACGGGUAGCCUGCCUGAGAGGGUGACCGGAACCGUUGGGACUGAGCUAAGGCCCAGACCAGUAUGGGAGGCAGGAGAGGGGAAGAUUGUACAAUGGGCGGAAGCCUGCUGUAGCAACGCCGCGUGCGGGAUGACGGCAUUCUGGUUGGAAACCGAUUUCGCCUGUGACGAAGCGUUAGUGACGGUACCGGGUAAAGAAGCACCGGCUAACUACGUG
rnacentral:rRNA from 1 species